rnacentral:rRNA from 1 species
GAUGAACGCUGGCGGCGUGCCUAAUACAUGCAAGUCGAGCGAACAGACGAGGAGCUUGCUCCUCUGACGUUAGCGGCGGACGGGUGAGUAACACGUGGAUAACCUACCUAUAAGACUGGGAUAACUUCGGGAAACCGGAGCUAAUACCGGAUAAUAUAUUGAACCGCAUGGUUCAAUAGUGAAAGACGGUUUUGCUGUCACUUAUAGAUGGAUCCGCGCCGCAUUAGCUAGUUGGUAAGGUAACGGCUUACCAAGGCAACGAUGAGUAGCCGACCUGAGAGGGUGAUCGGCCACACUGGAACUGAGACACGGUCCAGACUCCUACGGGAGGAAGCAGUAGGGAAUCUUCCGCAAUGGGCGAAAGCCUGACGGAGCAACGCCGCGUGAGUGAUGAAGGUCUUCGGAUCGUAAAACUCUGUUAUUAGGGAAGAACAAAUGUGUAAGUAACUAUGCACGUCUUGACGGUACCUAAUCAGAAAGCCACGGCUAACUACGUG